rnacentral:misc_RNA from 1 species
AUCACCUUCAAGUCGCCCAUAGAGGAUAUAACAUUGAUCAUCCGAUGCGGGGCGGACGUCAACGGUCGAGUCAAGAAAGGACUACGUCCGCUCCAUUACGCGGCCUUCGUCAACUACGUCGAGUGUGUCAAACUUUUGGUUGACAAUGGCGCCGAUGUGAACUUGACAGACGACAUUGGGUACACCCCGAUGCACAUCUGUGCCAGAAAAGGAUACCACAAUGUGUUGAGCAUUUUAAUUACGAAUGGUGCGAAUUUGAAAUUUUGCAAACUUGGCGUGAUAGAAGAAGACAAUUUGAAUAAAAAGGACAGUUUUAUGACAAUGGCACCACUCAAUAUGGCGAUCGAAAACAAUCAUAUUGAAUGCGCUAGGCUUCUGUUAGAAAAUGGUGCUAGUCCACAUCAUAAAUAUUUCAUGGGUUAUGAAAUUAGUCUAGUACCACUGGAUAAUCUAGAGUGUAUGGAGCUUCUGCUAAGUCAUGGAGCGGAUCCCAACGUUUACAACAGAUGUGGCGUUACACCUUUAAUGAGGGCUUGUAAAGAACACAAGUUAUCGACUGUUAAAUUGUUACUGCAGUUUAAUGCUGAUGUGAAUGCCACAUGUCCUGCUAGGUUCGAACAACGAAGGCCAAUACACUUUGCAAUACAAGCAGGGGAUGUUGAAAUUACCGAGUACUUGUUGAAGAAUGGUGCUUGUCUGAGCCGUCCAAAUAAUUACAAAUACAGUCCACUUCAUGAAGCAAUCGUCAAGGACAAUAUAGCACUAUGUGAACUCAUGCUCCAGUAUCAAGCCAAAGUGGAGGAGAGGACAGAACAUGGCGCUACGCCGUUAAUGCUUGCUUGCUCCCUGGUAGGUCUCAAAAAUCGGCGACAGAUCGUAGAGUUAUUACUGAACAAGAAUGCUAAUGUUAAUGCCUACUCGGAGCAAGUUAGUUACAUAGACCCAUAUCUUCCUCCUCUGAUAGAAUACUUGAAAAAUAAUGGCUGUGAUAUUCAUUAUGACGUCAUCUCUUUGCUCAUCAAAUUUGGCGCCAAAGUCAGUUUUCGUGGAUAUCUUGGAGUAGUUCGCGCCAAGGAUCCUUUUGGAAUUCUUCAUUUUAUGCACAACGUGUUCGGAAAGAAGGAUGUUUGUCAUUUACUAUUUGUAGCUGCCUGUUUGUAUGACAACGACAGCAUAAAACACGUCAACACUAUUAAUGUCGAAGCCAAAAAGUGCCUGAUGUCUUACGGAUGUCGACCAAGAGAACUAAAACAUCUUUGCAGGUUAUAUAUCCGGGAUCGAAUGUGCACCGGACUUCCGGAAAAAGUCAAAAUACUUCCGCUUCCUAGUCUUGUCAAAUCCUACCUCCUUUUUGAUUUAUGAUAUAGAUUGUUUAUUUAGAUUUUGUUUUAGAAUUGUUACUAUUGUUUCAGAGUUUAUUGUUAUCGUAGAAAGGUUUGAAGAUUAAAAUUUGUGAAC